rnacentral:rRNA from 1 species
AGAGUUUGAUCCUGGCUCAGGACGAACGCUGGCGGCGUGCCUAACACAUGCAAGUCGAGCGAUGAAGUUUCCUUCGGGGAACGGAUUAGCGGCGGACGGGUGAGUAACACGUGGGUAACCUGCCUUGUAGAGGGGGAUAGCCUUCCGAAAGGAAGAUUAAUACCGCAUAAGAUUGUAGUUUCGCAUGAAACAGCAAUUAAAGGAGCAAUCCGCUACAAGAUGGACCCGCGGCGCAUUAGCUAGUUGGUGAGGUAACGGCUCACCAAGGCGACGAUGCGUAGCCGACCUGAGAGGGUGAUCGGCCACAUUGGGACUGAGACACGGCCCAGACUCCUACGGGAGGCAGCAGUGGGGAAUAUUGCACAAUGGGCGCAAGCCUGAUGCAGCAACGCCGCGUGAGCGAUGAAGGCCUUCGGGUCGUAAAGCUCUGUCCUCAAGGAAGAUAAUGACGGUACUUGAGGAGGAAGCCCCGGCUAACUACGUGCCAGCAGCCGCGGUAAUACGUAGGGGGCUAGCGUUAUCCGGAUUUACUGGGCGUAAAGGGUGCGUAGGCGGUCUUUCAAGUCAGGAGUUAAAGGCUACGGCUCAACCGUAGUAAGCUCCUGAUACUGUCUGACUUGAGUGCAGGAGAGGAAAGCGGAAUUCCCAGUGUAGCGGUGAAAUGCGUAGAUAUUGGGAGGAACACCAGUAGCGAAGGCGGCUUACUGGACAGUAACUGACGUUGAGGAGCGAAAGUGUGGGGAGCAAGCAGGAUUAGAUACCCUGGUAGUCCACGCUGUAAACGAUGAGUACUAGGUGUCGGAGGUUACCCCCUUCGGUGCCGCAGCUAACGCAUUAAAGUAUUCCGCCUGGGGGAGUACGCACGCAAGUGUGAAAACUCAAAGGAAUUGACGGGGACCCGCACAAGUAGCGGAGCAUGUGGUUUAAUUCGAAGCAACGCGAAGAACCUUACCUAGGCUUGACAUCCUUCUGACCGAGGACUAAUCUCCUCUUUCCCUUCGGGGACAAGGUGACAGGUGGUGCAUGGUUGUCGUCAGCUCGUGUCGUGAGAUGUUCGGUUAAGUCCGAUAACGAGCGCAACCCCUAUCUUUAAUUGCUAACAUUAAGUUGAGAACCUUAAAGAUACUGCCGGUGACAAACCGGAGGAAGGUGGGGAUGACGUCAAAUCAUCAUGCCCCUUACGUCCAGGGCUACAGGCGUGCUACAAUGGCUGGUAUAAUAAGAUGCAAAGUCGCGAGGCUGAGCCAAUCUCCAAAGCCAGUCCCAGUCCGGAUUGGAGUCUGCAACUCGACUCCAUGAAGUUGGAAUCGCUAGUAAUCCCGAAUCAGAAUGUCGGGGUGAAUACGUUCCCGGGUGUUGCACACACCGCCCGUCA